UACGUAGGGACCAAGCGUUGUUCGGAUUUACUGGGCGUAAAGGGCGCGUAGGCGGUAUGACAAGUCACUUGUGAAAUCUCCGGGCUUAACUCGGAACGGCCAAGUGAAACUGUCAAACUAGAGUGCGGAAGGGGCAAUCGGAAUUCUUGGUGUAGCGGUGAAAUGCGUAGAUAUCAAGAGGAACACCUGAGGUGAAGACGGGUCUCUGGACAGUUCCUGACGCUGAGGCGCGAAGGCCAGGGGAGCAAACGGG
rnacentral:rRNA from 1 species